rnacentral:rRNA from 1 species
UGCCUAACACAUGCAAGUCGAACGGAGAAUUUCAAUAAGUUUACUUAGAGAAAUUCUUAGUGGCGGACGGGUGAGUAACGCGUGGGUAACCUACCCAUAAACCCGGGACAACCCCUGGAAACGAGGGCUAGUACCGGAUAGUCUUUUGGUUUGGCAUCAAACUUAAAGAAAAGGUGGCCUCUGAAUAUGCUACCGAUUAUGGAUGGACCCGCGUCUGAUUAGCUAGUUGGUGGGGUAAAGGCCUACCAAGGCGACGAUCAGUAGCCGGCCUGAGAGGGUGAACGGCCACACUGGGACUGAGACACGGCCCAGACUCCUACGGGAGGCAGCAGUGGGGAAUCUUCCGCAAUGGACGAAAGCCUGACGGAGCAACGCCGCGUGUAUGAUGAAGGUCUUCGGAUUGUAAAGUACUGUCUUUGGGGAAGAAUGAUGCGUUUGAAAAUAUUGAGUGCAUAUGACGGUACCCAAGGAGGAAGCCCCGGCUAACUACGUGCCAGCAGCCGCGGUAAUACGUAGGGGGCAGGCGUUGUCCGGAAUUAUUGGGCGUAAAGGGCGCGUAGGCGGAUAGUUAAGUCCGGUGUGAAAGAUCAUGGGCUCAACCCUGAGAGUGCACCGGAAACUGGUUAUCUUGAG